rnacentral:lncRNA from 1 species
CCACUCCUCUGUGUGCACUUGUUACCCAAGUCAGCUCUGUAAUUAUGCCACUAACAUAAAUUGCACUUAACUUCAAUAUUCCAAAACUUGUUACCUAUAAACUGUCUCAAAAUCUCUGUCCAGGAUACGGGUUUUAAGAAAAUUAUAGAGGCUAACCUAGUUAUGGCCAAUGUCAGGAGUGUUUCUUUUGAGAAAAAACAGGUAUUAAAACUUCAAAGGUAUCAGAGGUUACCAAGUCAUACAUUGAUUGGAGAUUAAAUAAUGGUAUAUAACUUAUAACGAUGACCAAUUUAGCAAGAUGGGUUAACAUUUUAGGUAUAUCAUGCUUUAUUCAUGCAGUUGUCUCGGUCCAUUUAAGCUUCAGUAAAGAAAUAGUAUCUCAACAUGGUUUUUGGAAGGUUGAUUUUUAUUUAUUUAGUGAGUUUUAAUCUAGUUUUCUCACUGUUUUGAAUAUGCAGGGUUACCUUGAUCCAGAGUACUUCUUAACUCACAAGUUGACUGACAAGAGUGAUGUUUAUAGUCUUGGUGUUGUACUUCUGGAACUUUUGACUGGGAUGCAUCCUAUCUCACACGGAAAAAAUAUUGUUAGAGAGGUAUUUGCUUACUGUAGGACCUGUGUUUUUUUUGGGUAGACAGCAUAAGUAUUCCACAACAUCAUAGAUUGAACCAAAUUAAACAAUUUUCAAGUAAUGUCUGUCUAUCCUUUGGUUUUUGUCAUGUAAAUAUUCCUUCAACCAUUUCCUAUGCCUUAAGAUAUCAAAUAAUAGUGUUUGACAAUUUACUGUUCUAAAUCUUUUUUAAAUUAAUCUGAGUACCUGGUGAGAUUAGUCUCUAGCUUUGGGCUUGGGGAUACCCCAAGUUCACCUUGACACUCACUUUCCU